UUUUACAUAAAAACUAAGACUUGCUACACCACAGUUGCUGUCAUGAUUACCUGUUCGAAAAUCUGUUCUUUUAUGUGAUAUGUUUUACACAAAAUAUCGGCAAAAAACAGAAAUUCAAAACGUCUCGGCAAAGGUCAACGUUUUGUUUUUGUUUUUUUUUCGUUUUUAACUACAUUCCAAAUAAAAAUCAUGAGUGGCUGAGUUCGUUAACCCACCUUUUCGUACGCAUUUUUAAGUACAACCCAUACACUGUUUUUGGUUAUAGUACAGUCAGCCCACAUAUUCGGAACACCUACAAAUUUUGAACACUUUUGUGAUAAUUAGUCAAUAGCAUGCCAUCUUUUAUGUCAUGCCUACUAUUUUUAGGACCUUUAUUAAGAUAUUCUCAUGCUAUUUCACUUGUAAAAGUAGUACUUUUGAAACAAAAAACCACCUUUCAAAACUAUUUUAUUCAGAGCAGCAAACACUGCCUCCAAAUUGGCCUUUCCAUAAUUGUGGGAUGUUAUUGUAUUUGUGGAAUUCAAGGGUUUUUCUUUAAAAGCUUGAUAUAAAACGUAAAAAAUUACAUUACAAAAAGUAUUCACAUGAAGGUAAAAGCAAAUCAUGAUGUCGGAUGAUAGGGUUUAUCUCGUAUUCCGGAAGUGUCCCCAAGGGGCCACCGGUAACCGGUUCCAGAAUGGCCAGGAUGGGUCAGCGAACAACGGCAUGACCGUAGAUUGACAUAUCUUUCAAUUUCAUGAAGUUUGAUAUGUCGGAUGAUAGGGUUUAUCUCAUAUUCCGGAAGUGUCCCCAAGGGGCCACCGGUAACCGGUUCCAGAUUGGCCAAGAUGGCCCAGCGAACAACGGCAUUAUCAAAAAUGGAUAUAUCUUCCAAUUUUAUAAAGUUUGGUGUGCAACAUGAUGAGUGUUCACCAAAAAAGUCAAGUUGACCGUUCAUUGGGUACCUGGGAACCGGUUCCAGGUUACUCGGAAUUGGCCAGUAACACUUCAGAGUGGUUCUUGCAAUCGUGUUUUGUGUAUUAGUAAGUUUUAUGGAUCAAUUUCAACUAUCAUGAGUGUAUUGGUAUCACAUAUACUUGAAAAACAGUAAAACAUGAACUUUUCGGAUGUUCCGGAUUUCCGGAACCGGUAGGUCACCUGGCCCUGAUAUUAUUAUUGGAGGAUCAUCAAAGGUCAUCAAAGUUGGGGUCUCAAAAAAGUCUUUUUUUAGGUUGUAGCCGAUUCCCGGUGGCCAUAGUGAUCAAAUCCGGUUUUCCAGGUGGGUGGGUUUCGGAAAGGGGACCUCCCUGGAGUUUUU